rnacentral:lncRNA from 1 species
AUAACACCAUAUUCUAGGAAUACAUUUCAAAUAUCUAUCACGUCAUUUUUUUAAAAAAGCUGAGAGAUUUGAAUAUAUAAAAUAUUAAAAAGGACUUUUGAAAAAAUUGAUUUAAAAAUAUUAAUGCAAAAUAUAUUACCUCUCAGUUGGACCAUGUAACCGAGGUUAAUACUUGAAAAAAAAUUAACAAAGAAAAAAGGGAAACUAGAAAAACGUCAAAUGAAAAAUACUAAUUAA